rnacentral:rRNA from 1 species
CGGACGGGUGAGUAAUGUCUGGGAAACUGCCCGAUGGAGGGGGAUAACUACUGGAAACGGUAGCUAAUACCGCAUAACGUCGCAAGACCAAAGAGGGGGACCUUAGGGCCUCUUGCCAUCGGAUGUGCCCAGAUGGGAUUAGCUAGUAGGUGGGGUAACGGCUUACCUAGGCGACGAUCCCUAGCUGGUCUGAGAGGAUGAUCAGCCACACUGGAACUGAGACACGGUCCAG